UCCACAUUGAAAUCACAACAGUAUAUAAUAAUUGAUCAUUUUAGUUUUGUAGUGUAAUUGUGACACAGAUAUUAUAAAUUUGGAACGUGACAUGUCUAGUUUGACGUGGCUGCUUAUAGCCGCCUUGGCCUUGUCACACGUGUGUGACGGCUAUAAAGUCCUGGUGAUGUUCCCCCUGGCCGGCAAGAGUCACGGAAUCCUGGGUAAAGGAGUGGUGCGCCAUUUGCUACAAGCUGGACAUGAGGUGACGUAUAUUACACCAUUUCCGGAAGAGAAUCCUC
rnacentral:lncRNA from 1 species